rnacentral:lncRNA from 1 species
AGGGUCAGCUGUGAACACAGAAAUGAAAGCAAAGACAUGGAAUCAACCUAAGGGCCCAUCAAUGGUAGAGUGGAUAAAGAAAAUGUGGUACAUAUAUACCAUGGAAUACUAUGCAGCCAUAAAAAAAGGAUGAGAUCAUGUCUUCUGCAGGAAUAUGGAGGGAGCUGGAGGCCAUAUCCUCAGCAAACUAAGACUGGAACAGAAAACCAAAUGCUGCACAUUCUCACUUAUAAGUGGGAGCUAAAUGAUGAGAACACAUGGGCACAAAGAGGGGAACAAAAGACACUGGAGCCUACUUGAGGGUGGAGGGUGAGAGGAGAGAGAAGAUCAAGAAAAAUGAAACUACUGGCUACUAGACCUAGUACUCAAGUGACUAAAUAAUCUAUACAACAAACCCCCAUGACAUGAGUUUACCCAUAUAACAAACCUGCCUUGUAUCCCUGAACCUAAUAACAGUUAAAUAAAUAAAUU